CCUACGGGCGGCAGCAGUGGGGAAUAUUGCACAAUGGGCGGAACCCUGAUGCAGCGACGCCGCGUGGGUGAAGGAGUGCUUCGGCAUGUAAAGCUCUAUCGGCAGGGAAGAAGCAAGACGGUACCUGACUAAGAAGCCUCGGCUGACUACGUGCCAGCAGCCGCGGUAAUACGCAGGGGGCGAGCGUUAGCCGGAUUCACUGGGUGUAAAGGGAGCGUAGGAGGCCAGGCAAGGCAGGGGUGAAAGCCCGGGGCUCAACCCCGGUACUGCCCUGGGAACUGGAUGGCUGGAGUGCGGGAGGGGCAGGCGGAAUUCCUGGGGUAGCGGUGAAAUGCGUAGAUAUCAGGAGGAACACCGGCGGCGAAGGCGGCCUGCUGGACCGCGACUGACGUUGAGGCUCGAAAGCGUGGGGAGCGAACAGGAUUAGAUACCCGAGUAGUC
rnacentral:rRNA from 1 species